GGAGUUGUGCCUGAAGUAUAGGGCCACUUUGAUAGAGUGAAAGAUGGAGGUUAAAGUCCUCUCAGCUCCU
rnacentral:tRNA from 1 species